UUAUGAAUACUUGCUACACUU
ensembl:piRNA 21ur-11008 ncRNA